rnacentral:rRNA from 1 species
AGUGAACGCUGGCGGUAGGCCUAACACAUGCAAGUCGAACGGGAGCACAGUAAGAGCUUGCUCUUACGGGUGGCGAGUGGCGGACGGGUGCGGAAUACAUCGGAAUCUACUUUUUCGUGGGGGAUAACGUAGGGAAACGUACGCUAAUACCGCAUACGACCUACGGGAGAAAGCAGGGGAUCUUCGGACCUUGCGCGAUUGAUUGAGCCGAUGUCGGAUUCGCUAGUUGGCGGGGUAAUGGCGCACCAGGGGGCCGCUCCGUAGCUGGUCUGUGAGGAGGGUCAGCCACACUGGAACUGAGACACGGUCCAGACUCCUACGGGAGGCAGCAGUGGGGAAUAUUGGACGAUGGGCGCGAGCCUGAUCCAGCCAGACCGCGUGGGUGAAGAAGGCCGUCGGGUUGUAAAGCCCUUUUUUUGGGAGAGAAAAGCAGCAGGGUAAUACCCCGCUGUUCUGACGGUACCCGAAGAAUAAGCACCGGCUAACUUCGUG